UACGGGGGGAGCAAGCGUUGUUCGGAUUUACUGGGCGUAAAGGGCGCGUAGGCGGCGUGACAAGUCACUUGUGAAAUCUCCGGGCUUAACUCGGAACGGUCAAGUGAUACUGUCGUGCUAGAGUACAGAAGGGGCAACUGGAAUUCUCGGUGUAGCGGUGAAAUGCGUAGAUAUCGAGAGGAACACCAGUGGCGAAGGCGGCCGACUGGGCCGAUCCUGACGCUGAGACGCGAAAGCCAGGGUAGCGAACCGG
rnacentral:rRNA from 1 species